UACGAAAGGUGCGAGCGUUACUCGGAAUCACUGGGCGUAAAGCGCGCGUAGGUCGACUUGUAGGUCGGUUGUGAAAUACCUGGGCUCAACCCAGGAGGGGCAGCCGAAACCACAAGUCUUGAAUACUUGAGAGGGUGGGGGAAUACCUGGUGGAGAAGUGAAAUUCGUAGAGAUCAGGUGGAACACCGGAGGCGAAGGCGCCUGCCUGGCAAUGUAUUGACGCUGAAGUGCGAAAGUGCGGGGAGCAAACAGGAUUAGAUACCCUGGUAGUCCGCACCGUAAACGAUGGAUACUAGGCGUUUGGAGAAUUAACCCUCUGAGUGCCGAAGUUUACACAUUAAGUAUCCCGCCUGGGAAGUACGGUCGCAAGACUA
rnacentral:rRNA from 1 species